UAAGUGAAUGCUUUGCCACAGUCUUGAAUUUAGAAUCCUAGCCUGCUGCAACAUUCACUUGGC
rnacentral:pre_miRNA from 1 species